UAAUGAAGCGCGAGGGCUAGGAAAUGGACUCUCGUGGGUGGGGGCGAGGAAGGGAAGGAAAGGGAAAGGAAGCGAUGAGAAGAGAGAGGAGUGUUUCAAGGGAGUGGGGGGAAUGUUUUAAGGGGAGAGAGGGAGCGUUGGCGAUGGUGAGUGAAUGGAGACGACGGCUAUGGCGGGCCAUGGGUGAAUGAGAGGAGAACACUUCCCGAGGGCCGAAAGAAACUGCCACAGCACGAAGCAGCUUACCUGCUUCAGUGAGUGAGUGAGUGAGUCUCGCCCUUUUCCUGUUCCCUUCCAUACCAAAAGGUUGUGGUUCUUUGCAACUUCUCCGUCAUUCGUUGUUGGAAUAAGCGUCGAUUCCGCGAUCGCUACCACUGCGGUGGUGAUGUAGGUAGAGGUGUGAAUCGGAGAAGACUUAUGACAACCAUCGAAGUCCCCGGUAUGUAGUCUUAAAACUACUUACUCACAGUUCGGUUCGGGAGAUUUGUGGGAGUUUUCGUGCUUUUAAAACUGUAAGCGACGAUGAGGUGGCUGCGAAAGGUAUCCACACCUUUCAGACGGGUGUGGAAAGCUAUUUUCGCCAAGCUUCGUCCUCGCAAGCACAAGCGAGGAAGUGGUGUAGGGAAGUUGUACAACGAUGUACUCUCCUGUGGAUACGACGAUGUGCAUACCAUGUGGACUAUCCUUCACGAGACACACGCUCCCGUCGAUUCUCCAAAGAAACAUCGGCCGAUUGUGAGUUUCCGUUGAGGUACUCGGCAGUGAGGCAUGGGCUCCAUCCUCGAGCUCUGCGAUAUGGAUAGUGACAUCAGUCUGCAUAUAUCCUGAUGCUACUAUAUCCUCAUGUGAAUAGGUACUGGGAGAUACCUGCUCCUGGAUAGCAAAUCCAGAUUGUAAAUGUUUUUCCCGGGGUCUAGGGUAUCUGCCGUUUUUCUAAAUCAAAAAAACUAAAACCAAAAAUUCUACUUUUAAGUGCUAUGUUUAAGAAGGGCUACUCCUUAUCGGGGAAAAUGUGCAGGCUGUUGCAGUCGAGCACCCGUAAUGAAUCUGAUGAAGCGUGACUUCAUCGGAAGUCAUGCAGUAGCCAGAACACAGACCCUUGUCUGACGUUCUGCGCUUGGAAUUCUUUGACUAGCAGAGCAUGCCGAGAUGUAUUAAGUUAAAUUUCUUUUCAGGGGAUAUGAGGAGACCCCGUGUAAUUUUACGAGAUCUAUCUGUAAAGUAAAGACACUAUGUAAGCUGGCUUUUCCAGUGUCACAGAUCACUGCUUA